rnacentral:rRNA from 1 species
AAGCGCGCGUAGGUGGUUUGUUAAGUUGGAUGUGAAAUCCCCGGGCUCAACCUGGGAACUGCAUUCAAAACUGACUGACUAGAGUAUGGUAGAGGGUGGUGGAAUUUCCUGUGUAGCGGUGAAAUGCGUAGAUAUAGGAAGGAACACCAGUGGCGAAGGCGACCACCUGGACUGAUACUGACACUGAGGUGCGAAAGCGUGGGGAGCAAACAAGGAUUAGAUACCCGAGU